UACGUAGGUGGCAAGCGUUAUCCGGAUUUAUUGGGCGUAAAGGGAACGCAGGCGGUCUUUUAAGUCUGAUGUGAAAGCCUUCGGCUUAACCGGAGUAGUGCAUUGGAAACUGGGAGACUUGAGUGCAGAAGAGGAGAGUGGAACUCCAUGUGUAGCGGUGAAAUGCGUAGAUAUAUGGAGGAACACCAGUGGCGAAGGCGGCUUCCUGGUCUGCAACUGACACUGAGGCGCGAAAGCGUGGGGAGCAAACAGG
rnacentral:rRNA from 1 species